rnacentral:rRNA from 1 species
GACUCCGGAGAGGGAGCCUGAGAAACGGCUACCACAUCCAAGGAAGGCAGCAGGCGCGCAAAUUACCCAAUCCCGAUACGGGGAGGUAGUGACAAGAAAUACCGAUUCAGGAUCUUAUUGGAUCUUGAGAUUGGAAUGAGUACAAUUCAAACCCAUUAACGAGGAACAACUAGAGGGCAAGUCUGGUGCCAGCAGCCGCGGUAAUUCCAGCUCUAGUAGCGUAUAUUAAAAUUGUUGCAGUUAAAACGCUCGUAGUUGAACUUUGGGCUUGGCUGGCUGGUCCGCCUCACCGCGUGCACUGGUCCGGCUGGGCCUUUCCUCUUGGGGAUCCACAUGCCCUUCACUUGGGUGUGUUGGGGAACCAGGACUUUUACUUUGAAAAAAUUAGGGUGUUCAAAGCAGGCAUUUGCUCGAAUACAUUAGCAUGGGAUAAUAGAAUAGGA